GCCACUGUAGCUCAGUCGGUAGAGCAAUGCUUUCGUAAAGCAGAGGUCGGCGGUUCGAGUCCGCCCAGUGGCUCCA
rnacentral:tRNA from 1 species